AUUGGACGCUGGCGGAAUGCUUUACACAUGCAAGUCGAACGGCAGCACGGGGGCAGCCCUGGUGGCGAGUGGCGAACGGGUGAGUAAUACAUCGGAACGUGCCCGGUCGUGGGGGAUAACGUAGCGAAAGUUACGCUAAUACCGCAUACGAUCUGAGGAUGAAAGCGGGGGACCUUCGGGCCUCGCGCGAUCGGAGCGGCCGAUGUCAGAUUAGGUAGUUGGUGGGGUAAAGGCCUACCAAGCCGACGAUCUGUAGCUGGUCUGAGAGGACGACCAGCCACACUGGGACUGAGACACGGCCCAGACUCCUACGGGAGGCAGCAGUGGGGAAUUUUGGACAAUGGGCGCAAGCCUGAUCCGGCCAUUCCGCGUGCAGGACGAAGGCCUUCGGGUUGUAAACUGCUUUUGUACGGAACGAAAAGGCUCUGGCUAAUACCUGGGGCUCAUGACGGUACCGUAAGAAUAAGCACCGGCUAACUACGUG
rnacentral:rRNA from 1 species